ensembl:lncRNA
CAGAAAUACUCUUUCCACUUUCCUUUAGUGUAUACUGAAGCUCCUUAUCCUGUUACACUUUAAACUGAUGUUCCAAUGCAUUUACUUCCCAUUAAUUUGGUUGGUGCUACGGAGCUGAGCUACAUGAGAAUUUCUUAGCAAGAGGAUGGGUUUGGGUUUGGGUUUUAUUUGUUUCUUAUUCUUUUCAGGCUCCUGAAAUCACCCUGCAGAUUGCUUCUCAUCUGCCUGCCAUGGAAGCCUCAGACAAUGCCUUCGAAGGCUCCUUCUUCUUUCAGAGUGCUGAAAACAUACUGUUUGUUGGGAGAGAGUCUUUGGCAUCUGUGGGAAGCUUCAUUCUGCUGCUGAUCCACUGCCUGGCCCACAUCGCUGCCAAGGACUUCCACCAGGACUCAGACCCUGCCUUUCUGAGGUCAUUUUACAAGGUAUUUCUAAAAUGCACAGUUUUCUUUGCUUCUCUCCCAGAAUGACGGAUUUGUUAAGCUGUGCGACAUUUCAAAGCUACUUAGGUCCCAUUGUUGGCCUCUGGUUCCUACUGCCUGGCCAGGAGGAAGGUUUUCCUGAUCUAAUUUCCUGUGGCAGCCUAUAACAAAAUGCAUGUACCACUCUGUAAAAACUCAAAAAGAAGUGGCCUUCCUAUGAGAAUGGCAUCACAGCUUUCUUGGCUAUUUCCUUGCCAACACAUAAGCCGCACCAGAAUUGCAAAUGACAAUAAUAACCCGCGGUAAGGGCAAGUGAAGAUGAUGGAUAUCAAACCCCAUCUUUCUUUCAGCUAUUAUUUUGAAGCUGUAUAACAGCAAUUAUCUAGAAUGGAACUGAUUUGGCCCCCCUCACCUUUUCCCUGACCAGGGCUUGCAGGCUUAUUUCAGGGAAGCAUUCUCUAUGGCGCUGCAAAUGUCAGCGGUUUCCUGGGACGGUAAGCUUGACCGAAGCGUAAGUGCUCUUCUGCUGGAAGAGCAGCCCGUCUCUGCGAGAGGAAGAGAUCUUCUCUCGAAACUCAUUGAAAGGAAGUGUGAGUCUCACUUGGAACCAGAGUCAUCAGAAGAGUAUAUUAAGAAAAACAAGGAUCUUCUCCUCUUCACCAAUAUGGAACAUCUUCUAAAAAGCGUCAUUGCUGCUGAAAAACAGAUACCAAGAAAACGGAGAGAUCAGAGUGAGGACGAAGAUGAGGUGAGAUGGCCUUAUGAUCUACAGCAUUAAGACUGCUUUGCUCUACAUCUUGAAACACUUCAUCAUGUGUUUGGAGCCAUAUUUGUAAGUGAAAAAGUCAGCAGAAUGAAGGAUUGGAAAUUAAUGGUGGUAUGAAAGGCUACCUGAUCAAUCACCCUAUUUAAGAGUUUUCCCAGUACCGGGAGAUGGUGGAUCUUAGAUCUCAGUUAGAAAGGAGCCAAAAGAUUUCACCCUUUGCCUUCAGGUGCAUAAAGCCCUGAAGUGGGAACCAAGACGCAGACUUUCCCUGUUCACCCAGCUGGACGAGAGCAGGAAGUAGCUAGAACUGGGUCCAUUACCCUCCCAUUCAGGGGUUCUCUUGUUAUACCUUAUGACACCUGCUGCUCUUGUAUAAAAGGUGUUUGAUCAUAAGCAUGUAAAAUCUUAUAUCUUUAAAAACCAACAAAUAUUUUGGUUCCAAAU